GGUGUCGCGGAAUGUGGUGUUUAGGAGGACCGUGCGCGUCUGUCCGGUAUCGUCCAAGUCUCCAUGAAUGGGGCCAGCAACCCAGAGAGGGUGUCAGGCCCGUAGGACUGAGCCGCGACGGCGUAUUGGGUCUCUCCUUAGAGUCGGGUUGCUUGAGAGUGCAGCCCUAAGUGGGAGGUAAACUCCUUCUAAGGCUAAAUACGGCCACGAGACCGAUAGCGAACAAGUACCGCGAGGGAAAGUUGAAAAGAACUUUGAAGAGAGAGUUCAAUAGUGCGUGAAACCGUUCAGGGGGUUAAACGGGUGGGCCCUCGAAGGUCGAACGCUCCCUACUCGCGUCUCCGCUCGUCGGUCCGUGCCGCUUUUCCGAUCUCGCUACGGGACGGAGCGGUGCGGUAACUGGUGCGAGCGGGGGCGUUUAGUUAGGGGGCCAGUAGGACUCCGCAACCGUCUGGAGCUAGUCGUCAGAAGGGCUCUGGUAGAAAGCCUCCUCGCGGGGUGGACUCCGGGGUUCCGGGCGAUCUCUCCGGCCGUGAACCGGCAUUCCUCUCGGCUGGCGUCCGUGACGAGCUUCCCCUUCACGAGGGGGGAGUUGUCGGUUGCGGGCGUCACCGGGGGACGCUAGCGGAGAGUAGAGUCGGGUCCCACCCGACCCGUCUUGAAACACGGACCAAGGAGUCUAACAUGUGCGCGAGUCGUCGG
rnacentral:rRNA from 1 species